rnacentral:sRNA from 1 species
GUUUUCAGUUAUCAAAGAUGAAGAAAAUAGUUAUCCAAGUGCGCAUGGAGAAUGACAAAUGCAGAAGCAAGGCAAUGAAAAUUGCUGCUGCGUCUCAAGGUGUGCAUUCAGUGGCAUUAGAGGGUGAAGACAGAGAUCAAGUGGUGGUGACUGGAGAUGCAAUUGAUUCGGUUUGCUUGACUAAUAAAUUAAGAAAGAAGUUCAAAUAUGCAACUCUUAUGAGUGUGACAGACGAAAACGAGGAUGGUGAUGCUGGAG